AAGUGGUGUAAAGAUCCAUCAACGAGUAUUUGUUUAAAUAGUUUCGUCCAGCUAGAUUUGCGAUCCGAGCCACUGUGCGUCGUGUACAAUCGAACGAAGUCUAUCCACUACGUCUGCGAUUUCCCGAACGGUUUUACCCUUUUCAUGAUUAAUUUUCUUACUUCGAUUGAGCUUUGUCCACGCCGUCUACCCAUAGUUAAUUUUGGACUUUUAUUCAAAAAAACACGACUGAUAUUUUAUUUUAAGUUAUUACGUUUGGUACCUUUUUACCGAAAGCAAAUUCAUUGUGGGAUUGCCUUUUUAAAAUUGUCAAACAACUGUAAUAUUGCCAGAUGUCCGACUUCCUUUUUGACACCAAUUUUAAGCAUGCUGUAUGUUAACUUUUUUUUUAUAUCAAGGAGGUAAUGGAUUUGUAAAUUAUCAUUGUUAUUUUUAAAAUCCUAUUUGAAUACCCAAUAGAAAAAUAAAAAAAUUAAAAUAUUUAACUUGCAUUGCUUACGAAAAUUUUGAACUUGAAGUUGCAUGUUAUGUAUGUCCGAGUUUUUUAUUGAGCCACUCUACAAAAAUUAGUUAUUUUAUGGUUUCAUAACCACAUCACGCACCAACGCUCAAUGGAUGUGGUUAAUUCUUUUGUGCAUUCUGCUUGAUGUUUUCUUAGGUUCGUGGUAAACAAUUUUAGGGCAGAUAUUUGAAAAUUUAAAAUUAUUUAAAGGUUAAUAAAAUAUUUAACUUUCUUCACCUAAACUAAAAGCCACCUUUCU